GUGCCAGCCGCCGCGGUAAGACGAACCAUGCAAACGUUAUUCGGAUUCACUGGGCUUAAAGCGUGCGUAGGCGGUCUUGUUAGUCAGGUGUGAAAGCCCUCAGCCUAACUGAGGAAUUGCGCUUGAUACUGCAUGACUAGAGAAUGAUAGAGGUGGGUGGAACUGAUGGUGGAGCGGUGAAAUGCGUUGAUAUCAUCAGGAACACCAGUGGCGAAGGCGACCCACUGGGUCAUUUCUGACGCUGAGGUACGAAAGCUAGGGUAGCGAACGGGAUUAGAUACCCCGGUAGUCC
rnacentral:rRNA from 1 species